rnacentral:rRNA from 1 species
GACGAACGCUGGCGGCGUGCCUAAUACAUGCAAGUAGAACGCAGUUGCGAACGGGUGAGUAACGCGUAGGUAACUGCCUCAUAGCGGGGGAUAACUAUUGGAAACGAUAGCUAAUACAGCAUACUGUGAGAUGGACCUGCGUUGUAUUAGUUAGUUGGUGGGGUAAAGGCUCACCAAGGCGACGAUACAUAGCCGGGCUGAGAGGGUGAGCGGCCACACUGGGACUGGGACACGGCCCAGACUCCUACGGGAGGCAGCAGUAGGGAAUCUUCCGCAAUGGACGGAAGUCUGACCGAGCAACGCCGCGUGAGUGAUGACGGCUUUCGGGUUGUAAAGCUCUGUUGUUCGGGAAGCGGUACCGAACUAGAAAGCCACGGCUAACUACGUGCCAGCCGCCGCGGUAAUAC